GGACCAGACUCCUACGGGAGGCAGCAGUGGGGAAUAUUGGACAAUGGGGGGAACCCUGAUCCAGCGACGCCGCGUGAGUGAAGAAGUAUUUCGGUAUGUAAAGCUCUAUCAGCAGGGAAGAAAGAAAUGACGGUACCUGACUAAGAAGCCCCGGCUAACUACGUGCCAGCAGCCGCGGUAAUACGUAGGGGGCAAGCGUUAUCCGGGUUUACUGGGUGUAAAGGGAGCGUAGACGGCAAUGCAAGUCUGGAGUGAAAGGCGGGGGCCCAACCCCCGGACUGCUCUGGAAACUGUAUAGCUGGAGUGCAGGAGAGGUAAGUGGAAUUCCUAGUGUAGCGGUGAAAUGCGUAGAUAUUAGGAGGAACAUCAGUGGCGAAGGCGACUUUCUGGACUGUAACUGACGCUGAGGCACGAAAGUGUGGGGAGCAAACAGGAUUAGAUACCCCCGUA
rnacentral:rRNA from 1 species